AUUGAACGCUGGCGGCAGGCUUAACACAUGCAAGUCGAGCGGAGAGAGGUAGCUUGCUACCGAUCUUAGCGGCGGACGGGUGAGUAAUGCUUAGGAAUCUGCCUAUUAGUGGGGGACAACAUUUCGAAAGGAAUGCUAAUACCGCAUACGUCCUACGGGAGAAAGCAGGGGAUCUUCGGACCUUGCGCUAAUAGAUGAGCCUAAGUCGGAUUAGCUAGUUGGUGGGGUAAAGGCCUACCACGGCGACGAUCUGUAGCGGGUCUGAGAGGAUGAUACGCCACACUGGGACUGAGACCCGGCCCAGACUCCUACGGGAGGUAGCAGUGGGGGAUAUUGGACAAUGGGCGCAAGCCUGAGCCAGCCAUGCCGCGUGUGUGAAGAAGGCCUUAUGGUUGUAAAGCACUUUAAGCGAGGAGGAGGCUACUUUAGUUAAUACCUAGAGAUAGUGGACGUUACUCGCAGAAUAAGCACCGGCUAACUCUGUGCCAGCCGCCGCGGUAAAAC
rnacentral:rRNA from 1 species